rnacentral:piRNA from 1 species
AAAAGACCUGGACUGUAAAGGGUU